rnacentral:rRNA from 1 species
AGUGAACGCUGGCGGUAGGCCUAACACAUGCCAGUCGAACUGCAGCACAGUAAGAGCUUGCUCUUACGGGUGGCGAGUGGCGGACGGGUUAGGAAUACAUCGGAAUCUACUUUUUCGUGGGGGAUAACGUAGGGAAACUUACGCUAAUACCGCAUACGACCUACGGGUGAAAGCAGGGGAUCUUCGGACCUUGCGCGAUUGAAUGAGCCGAUGUCGGAUUAGCUAGUUGGCGGGGUAAAGGCCCACCAAGGCGACGAUCCGUAGCUGGUCUGAGAGGAUGAUGAGCCACACUGGAACUGAGACACGGUCCAGACUCCUACGGGAGGCAGCAGUGGGGAAUAUUGGACAAUGGGCGCAAGCCUGAUCCAGCCAUACCGAGUGGGUGAAGAAGGCCUUCGGGUUGUAAAGCCCUUUUGUUGGGAAAGAAAAGCAGCAGGUUAAUACCCCGCUGUUCUGACGGUACCCAAAGAAUAAGCACCGGCUAACUUCGUG